UUACACAUCUACUGUAUGAUAUGAGGUAGUGGAGGUGAGACCAGACACAAUGUCUUUUACACAUCUACUGUAUGAUAUGAGGUAGUGGAGGUGAGACCAGACACAAUGUCUUUUACACAUCUACUGUAUGAUAUGAGGUAGUGGAGGUGAGACCAGACACAAUGUCUUUUAGACAUCUACUGUAUGAUAUGAGGUAGUGGAGGUGAGACAAGACACAAUGACUUUUAUACAUCUACUGUAUGAUAUGAGGUAGUGGAGGUGAGACCAGACACAAUUACUUUUACACAUCUGCUGUAUGAUAUGAGGUAGUGGAGGUGAGACCAGACACAAUGUAUUUUACACAUCUACUGUAUGAUAUGAGGUAGUGGAGGUGAGACCAGACACAAUAUAUUUUACACAUCUACUGUAUGAUAUGAGGUAGUGGAGGUGAGGCCAGACACAAUGUCUUUUACUCAUCUACUGUAUGAUAUGAGGUAGUGGAGGUGAGACCAGACAUAAUGUCUUUUACACAUCUACUGUAUGAUAUGAGGUAGUGGAGGUGAGACCAGACACAAUGUCUUUUAGACAUCUACUGUAUGAUAUGAGGUAGUGGAGGUGAGACAAGACACAAUGACUUUUAUACAUCUACUGUAUGAUAUGAGGUAGUGGAGGUGAGACCAGACACAAUUACUUUUACACAUCUACUGUAUGAUAUGAGGUAGUGGAGGUGAGACCAGACACAAUGUAUUUUACACAUCUACUGUAUGAUAUGAGGUAGUGGAGGUGAGACCAGACACAAUGUAUUUUACACAUCUACUGUAUGAUAUGAGGUAGUGGAGGUGAGACCAGACACAAUGUAUUUUACACAUCUACUAUAUGAUUUGAGGUAGUGGAGGCAGACACAAUGUCUUUUAUAAAUCUACUGUAUGAUUUGAGGUAGUGGAGGCAGGCACAAUGUCUUUUACACAUCUAAUGCAUGAAAUGAGGUAGUCGAGGUGAGAUGAAUUAGGAUGUGGAUCUAAUGUAAUAAUAAAAUCUGACUAUUGUCUGUCAACAG
ensembl:lncRNA